rnacentral:rRNA from 1 species
UACGGGGGGGGGCAAGCGUUGUUCGGAAUUACUGGGCGUAAAGGGCGCGUAGGUGGCCUAUUAAGUCGGGUGUGAAAACUCUGGGCUCAACCCAGAGCCUGCAUUCGAUACUGAUGGGCUAGAGUUCUGGAGGGGAAAGCGGAAUUCCUGGUGUAGCGGUGAAAUGCGUAGAUAUCAGGAGGAACACCGGUGGCGAAGGCGGCAUCCUGGACCGGCAUUGACGCUGAGGCGCGAAAGCCAGGGGAGCAAACGGGG